UAACAUUUUCAUCUUUUAUCACAAAGAGAGAGUUAGCUUCUCAGAAAAUCUCUAUUGCUCCUAUCGACAUGCCCUAGCUCCUAAUUGAUCGAUCGAUCUUACUUCUCCCUUUGCGUAGAUCUUCAGUUAGCUUCCGUAGAUCUCUAUUGCUCCUGUCGACGGGCCCUAAUCGAUCCAAGAAUGAUUCUGGGAUCUUGAACCAGUUAGCUGCCGUAGAUAUUACUUCCCAAAAUCCAAGCAUGUGUGCAUUUCGAAGACUCGAUUUUCCUAACUCCCGAUUGCUGGUCGGUUGUUCUGGGAAGUGUGAGUGAGCACACUAUGCUCACUGCUCUGUCAUGAUUGUCAAGAGGCCCAAGCCCACCAAGUGAUAGAUCAUAUGUUGCAUCACCCAAACUAUUGUGUAGCUUAGUGUGCGUGAUUGUUUGUCAAAAGAGACUUGCUUUGUGCCCCAUUUAUCUGGUCUGGAAGAAGGGUGGUAUGAUGGAGGAAGCAUUUAAUUAGCUUUGUUGUUCUGCUUGUUAUGUUCUUUAUAGGUGGAAGUUGGGUAAAAAAGCUACGAUAAAUGGAGUUCCUACAAAGGUCCUUUGGUACUUUCUGCUUAUUCCAAGAUUUCAAAUAUUGUUUCGAAACAAGGAGAUAUGUAAGGAGUUAACUUGGCAUGCUGAUAAAAGCUUACUUGACGGAUACUUGCGUCAUCCGGCUGAUGCGCCCGCUUGGAAAGUAGUGGAUCACAAGUGGCCAGAUUUUGCUACUGAACCCAGAAAUCUUAGAUUGGCGUUAUUAGCAGACGGGAUCAAUCUCCAUAGUUUGAUGAGUUCUGUAUAUAGUUGUUGGCCAGUUGUGAUGAUCACUUACAAACUUCCUCCAUGGUUGUGUAUGAAGAGAAAAUUUAUGAUGCUCACUUUAUUGAUUUAUGGUCCCAAAUAACCGGGAAAUGGUAUUGACAUUUACUUAACACCUUUGAUCGAUGACUUGAAAAGAUUAUGAGAUAUAGGUGUUGAUGCAUAUAAUGCAUGUUGAGAAGAAAAUUUCUUGCUUAGGGCUAUUUUAUUAUGGGGAAUCAAUGAUUUUCCUGCAUAUGG